AGUGAACGCUGGCGGUAGGCCUAACACAUGCAAGUCGAACGGCAGCACAGUAAGAGCUUGCUCUUACGGGUGGCGAGUGGCGGACGGGUGAGGAAUACAUCGGAAUCUACUUUUUCGUGGGGGAUAACGUAGGGAAACUUACGCUAAUACCGCAUACGACCUACGGGUGAAAGCAGGGGAUCUUCGGACCUUGCGCGAUUGAAUGAGCCGAUGUCGGAUUAGCUAGUUGGCGGGGUAAAGGCCCACCAAGGCGACGAUCCGUAGCUGGCCUGAGAGGAUGAUCAGCCACACUGGAACUGAGACACGGUCCAGACUCCUACGGGAGGCAGCAGUGGGGAAUAUUGGACAAUGGGCGCAAGCCUGAUCCAGCCAUACCGCGUGGGUGAAGAAGGCCUUCGGGUUGUAAAGCCCCUUUGUUGGGAAAGAAAAGCAGCAGGUUAAUACCCCGCUGUUCUGACGGUACCCAAAGAAUAAGCACCGGCUAACUUCGUG
rnacentral:rRNA from 1 species